rnacentral:lncRNA from 1 species
CUGCGUUGUUGGCGCCGCGGCUCCGGAGGCGGUUGCGGUGGAAACGGGCGGAGCGCGGCUCCCGGGGGAGCGGCGGGAGCCUGAGGGAGCCUGAGGGAGCCGCGCCGGGAACCCGCGGGAGCGCCCCGGGAACCCCCCGGGAGCAGCGCCGGCAUGCCAGGGGCCGCCCCGCGAGUUGCAGUUUCCCCAAGAGUCCAGCCUCGGAUGUAAAGCCUUGACUGUAGUCCCUGCUGUUGCCUUCCUCUGCCACCUUGAGCAAGAUUUUUUGGAUUCAGCAAAAGACUUGGGCAUAUUACUGAAUAUAGGCAUUUUUGCCUCUUUGUGACAGACUCUUCCUUCUAUUUUUGGAGACAGACAUUGUGAAUAGUUGUGAACAUGGUAAGGGUUUUUUGAGGUGUUUUGGUAGAAAUAAAAUUGAGAAUUUUCCUCUUUCCCUG